UACAGGGGGGGCAAGCGUUGUUCGGAAUUACUGGGCGUAAAGGGUCAGUAGGCGGCCAACUAAGUCCGACGUGAAAUCCCAAGGCUUAACUUUGGAACUGCGUCGGAUACUGGAUGGCUUGAAUUCGGGAGAGGGAUGCAGAAUUCCAGGUGUAGCGGUGAAAUGCGUAGAUAUCUGGAGGAAUACCGGUGGCGAAGGCGGCAUCCUGGACCGACAUUGACGCUGAUGAGCGAAAGCUAGGGGAGCAAACGGG
rnacentral:rRNA from 1 species